CUACGGGGUGCAGCAGUGAGGAAUAUUGCACAAUGGGGGGAACCCUGAUGCAGCAACGCCGCGUAGAGGAUGACGCAUUUCGGUGUGUAAACUCCUUUUAUAUGUCAAGAAAAUGACGGUAGCAUAUGAAUAAGCACCGGCUAACUCCGUGCCAGCAGCCGCGGUAAUACGGAGGGUGAAAGCGUUACUCGGAAUCACUGGGCGUAAAGGACGCGUAGGCGGGUUGGAAAGUCAGUUGUGAAAUCCUACAGCUUAACUGUAGAACUGCACUUGAAACUUCUAAUCUAGAGUAUGGGAGGGGGAGAUGGAAUUAGUGGUGUAGGGGUAAAAUCCGUAGAUAUCACUAGGAAUACCUAAAGCGAAGGCGAUCUCCUGGAACAUUACUGACGCUAAGGCGUGAAAGCGUGGGGAGCAAACAGGAUUAGAUACCCGAGUAGUC
rnacentral:rRNA from 1 species